rnacentral:rRNA from 1 species
GCAUGCAAGUCGAACGGUAACAGAGGUGCUUGCACCUGCUGACGAGUGGCGAAAGGGUGAGUAACCCGUGAGCAACCUGCCUCGAAGUCCGGGAUAGCCUUGGGAAACCGAGAUUAAUACCGGAUGUGGCUGUUUUUCCGCAUGGUUUUACAGCUGAAGUUUUUUCGCUUCGAGAUGGGCUCGCGUUCCAUCAGCUAGUUGGUGAGGUAACGGCUCACCAAGGCAGCGACGGAUAGGUGGUCUGAGAGGAUGGUCACCCACACUGGGACUGAGACACUGCCCAGACUCCUACGGGAGGCUGCAGUCGAGAAUCUUCCGCAAUGCGCGAAAGCGUGACGGAGCGAUGCCGCGUGCCGGAUGAAGGCCUUCGGGUCGUAAACGGCUGUCACCCGGAACGAAUAUUGACGGUACCGGGAGAGGAAGCCACGGCUAACUACGUGCCAGCAGCCGCGGUAAUACGUAGGUGGCUAGCGUUAUUCGGAUUUAUUGGGCGUAAAGGGUUCGUAGGGGGCCGAGUAAGUCUGAUGUGAAAUCCAACGGCUCAACCGUUGAACUGCAUUGGAUACUGCCCGGCUAGAGUACUGGAGAGGUAAGCAGAAUUCCUGGUGUAGCGGUGGAAUGCGUAGAUAUCAGGAGGAAUACCGACGGCGAAGGCAGCUUACUGGACAGUUACUGACCCUCAUGAACGAAAGCUAGGGGAGCAAACAGGAUUAGAUACCCUGGUAGUCCUAGCUGUAAACGUUGUUCACUAGAUGUAGGCGGAUUUGGUCCCGUCUGUGUCCAAGCUAACGUGAUAAGUGAACCGCCUGGGGAGUACGGCCGCAAGGCUAAAACUCAAAGGAAUUGACGGGGGCCCGCACAAGCGGUGGAGCAUGUGGCUUAAUUCGAGGCAACGCGAAGAACCUUACCUGGGUUUGACAUAUAUCUGACCGCCAUGGAAACAUGGUUUCUCUUCGGAGCGGAUAUACAGAUGCUGCAUGGCUGUCGUCAGCUCGUGCCGUGAGGUGUUCGGUUAAGUCCGGCAACGAGCGCAACCCGUGCUGCUAGUUACCAGCGAGUAAUGUCGGGGACUCUAGCAGGACUGCCCGUGCUAAGCGGGAGGAAGGCGCGGACGACGUCAAGUCAGUAUGGCUCUUACACCCAGGGCUGCACACGUGCUACAAUG